rnacentral:misc_RNA from 1 species
AACCGCGAACUUCUAACCUUUGACGAUUGACUCAUGUUGCCUCGGCGGGUCCUCCCGCCAGAGGAUACAUCAAAACUCCUGUUUUAACGGUGUUGUCUGAGCUACAAGCAACGAAUCAAAACUUUCAACAACGGAUCUCUUGGUUCUGGCAUCGAUGAAGAACGCAGCGAAAUGCGAUAAGUAGUGUGAAUUGCAGAAUUCAGUGAAUCAUCGAAUCUUUGAACGCACAUUGCGCCCCUUGGUAUCCCGAGGGGCAUGCCUGUUCGAGCGUCAUUUCACCACUCAAGCCUGGCUUGGUGUUGGGCGACGUCCCCCUUUAGGGACGCGCCUCGAAACGCUCGGCGGCGUGGCACCGGCUUUAAGCGUAGCAGAAUCUUUCGCUUUGAAAGUCGGGGCCCCGUCUGCCGGAAGACCUACUCACAAGGUUGACCUCGGAUCAGGUAGGGAUACCCGCUGAACUUAAGCAU